GACGAACCGAGCGAACGUUGUUCGGAAUCACUGGGCUUAAAGGGCGCGUAGGCGGCUGGGGAAGUCGGCGGUGAAAGCCCGGAGCUCAACUCCGGGUCGGCCGUCGAGACUCCUCGGCUCGAGCUCACUGAGAGGCAGAUGGAAUUCCGGGUGUAGCGGUGGAAUGCGUAGAGAUCCGGAAGAACACCGGUGGCGAAGGCGGUCUGCUGGGGUAAUGCUGACACUGAGGCGCGACAGCGU
rnacentral:rRNA from 1 species